AUUGAACGCUAGCGGGAUGCCUAACACAUGCAAGUCGAACGGAGUGGCGAACGGGUGAGUAAUGUAUCGGAACGUGCCCAGUAGCGGGGGAUAACUACGCGAAAGCGUAGCUAAUACCGCAUAAUAUUGGAACGGCCGGUGUGGGCUUGGCUGGUUGGGGGGGGAACGGCUCACCAAGGUGACGAUGCGUAGCUGGGUUGAGAGGACGACAGGCCACAUGGGGACUGAGACACGGCCCAGACUCCUACGGGAGGCAGCAGUGGGGAAGUGUGGACAAUGGGUGAAACCCUGAUCCAGCCAUCCCGCGUGUGCGAUGAAGGCCUUCGGGUUGUAAAGCACUUUUGGCAGGAAAGCGGUACCUGCAGAAUAAGCACCGGCUAACUACGUGCCAGCAGCCGCGGUAAUAC
rnacentral:rRNA from 1 species